rnacentral:rRNA from 1 species
CAGCAGCCGCGGUAAUACGGAGGGAGCUAGCGUUGUUCGGAAUUACUUGGCGUAAAGCGCGCGUAGGCGGUUACUCAAGUCAGAGGUGAAAGCCCGGGGCUCAACCCCGGAACUGCCUUUGAAACUAGGUGACUAGAAUCUUGGAGAGGUCAGUGGAAUUCCGAGUGUAGAGGUGAAAUUCGUAGAUAUUCGGAAGAACACCAGUGGCGAAGGCGACUGACUGGACAAGUAUUGACGCUGAGGUGCGAAAGCGUGGGGAGCAAACAGGAUUAGAUACCCCCGUAGUCCCUGUCUCUUAUAC